UACGAAGGGGGCUAGCGUUGUUCGGAAUUACUGGGCGUAAAGCGCACGUAGGCGGAUAUUUAAGUCAGGGGUGAAAUCCCGCAGCUCAACUGCGGAACUGCCUUUGAUACUGGGUAUCUUGAGUAUGGAAGAGGUAAGUGGAAUUCCGAGUAUAGAGGUGAAAUUCGUAGAUAUUCGGAGGAACACCAGUGGCGAAGGCGGCUUACUGGUCCAUUACUGAUGCUGAGGUGCGAAAGCGUGGGGAGCAAAC
rnacentral:rRNA from 1 species